rnacentral:lncRNA from 1 species
ACGACACAAGACAUGGUAUAGGAACAUCAUAAAUUACUUCAGACGCAUAAUUUUCCUUUUUGAGUAAUACUGUUCACGUAAGAUACCAUUUGCUUUCAAUAUUAAAAUCUAACCAAUCUCAGAUCCAUUGCGACGUCUAUCAAGUGUCUUGUAACUUAAAAAAAGUUUAUCAUUAAAGAAAUGUUUAAGAUAACCACUUACACUCUAUUGUUCUUCCUGACCAUCAAUAUAGGGGUUUAAAGUUCCAUAGGAUUACUUAGAAACUUUUCCAGUUCGAAAUUCUUCCUUUGACCUACCGUAAUAGACAGGAUCUUUGCCUGCAAAGGUGAUAAAAUUCCAGCCAAAUGCAGAUCCUCCAACUACAUAGGUCCCUGGAAGACCAUCUUCAACCACAUGCUUCUGAAAGCCAGGAACUGGUGGAGUAAGCUUAAUUUCAGAUGGUAGAGACUGCUGCUCUUUGGGUGCUUUCUCAUCAAUGUUCUGACCAGCCUUUGACUGGUCAUCUUUCAUGCUUUCACAUAACCUGGUCACGAUCUUCAGC